AUGUGUGCAGUCAUUCCUCCGAGUAGGCGGGAUUCCCGAGGGGGGGCGGGGAGAGGUCACCCGGGCGACGUGAGCAGCAUAGUCCCGCCCUCCGGUGCGGCCUUCGGGCCUGAGGCUGAUUGGGUGAGCGAUGUCCUACGCGACAGCGCCAGGCGCGACGAGUGGCUGUACGCGCUGUCGGUCGGCGAGGCUGCGGGCCGCACUUCCGCCUCGGUGUCAGUGGGUCGCGGGCUGAGAGCUGCGGUUUUCUGGCCUUGGGCCGGGCUCGGCGGCAGCGGGGCUCGGCAGUGCAGGAGGCAGGGAUCUCGUCCAGCCUCAUUCCCUGUCUGGCAUGUGACAUCUGCUUUGGCUGGUGUGAGGAGCAAAUGGAAGCAUCUCUGCACCCCUGUGGCACACAGGUGCUCCAGUGUUAAUUCACUUUUCCCUUGUUGGGGCCAGGAACCUGGAGGGUGGCACUUCCUCCUUUGCGGCACAGUGCCUGCCACGGUGCUGUCAUCAAAACAUGAUGAUGAGGAAAUGGGUGGCUGCAUCUCGUAGAAUUUACCUUCCUUGUUUACCUCACGUAGCCUUCUGUUAAUAGCUCUUAGGGCCAGGGAUUUAGCUCAGUGGUAGUGCGCCUGCCUUCCAAGCACAAGGUCCUGAGUUCGAUCCCUGGUACAGGAAGAAAAAAAAUGGCUUUUAUCUGAGGGGGUGAUAAAGUGUUUAACAGUUAUUGUUCCAGAUUGUUUUUUGGUUUUUUUUUGUACUGGGGAUCAAACUCGGGACCUUGCACUUGCGAGUCAGGCGGCAGAACCACUGAGCUAAAGCCCCGGCCCUGUUCCAGUUUGUUGUGAGAACUGUAGAGUCACCUUACUCAUGUGAACCUUAUAGCAAUUUACUAGACAGGCGCCAGCUUUAUCCUCUGAUCAUUUGGGAGGAAACAGGAACAGAGGUUAAGUAAUUUACUUCUGAUUACACAGCAGUACAUUAUAGUUUAAAGACUUGAACCAAAGCAGUGUGGCUCCAGAAUUCACAUUCCUCUUUCUUCUGGCCUCGUGCAUGCCAGGUGAGCACUCUACUACUAAGCAACACCAACACCCCCAGCUGGAGAGAUGCCCCUCUGUGCCAUGUUUUAAUUAGUGGUACUGGGGAAUACACUGCCUUUUUUUCCCCAAUACUGGGGAUCAAACUCAGGACCUUGCAAUCGAGGUGCCACUGAGCUAAAUCCCGGGCCCCCUACACUGCCUUUUAAUACGAAGAUUUUCAUUUAAAACUUUUGUUAUGGGCCGGGGAUUUAGCUCAGAAAUGCCACAUUAAAAAAGAAACAAACUUUUGUUGAGAAUAUUCUAAUCGUGCUGCGUACUAUAUGUCUGAACUGUGGUUCUUGGAGCACCUGUAACAGAUUUUCAUUUCUCAUGUUUAUAAAACCAUUUUUUGUUUCUUGUACAAUGAAAUCCUCCCUCCAUCUGGCCAUCCAGCAUUUUGCAGAAAUACCCUUCUUGCUGUGCAGUGCCUUUGUUACUAGUGAAAUUGUUGGUGUUUGUUGAGAGAAGAGGGUGAGUUUGAAUGGGCAGGUGUGGAUCCAGCUUCGAGGCUGAGGUUUUCCUUUCCAUCCGAGUCUGUAGUCAGACCUUAGACGUAUGCUUGGGCAUUUCCUCUCCCUCCUCCCGGUGCAUCUGGGGUGGUCAGACUCCUGUGCUUUCUGCUUUAAUGAGCAGUGUUCUCUUUUUUUGUUGUUUUUUUGGUUUUUUUUGCUACCGGAGAUCGAACUCGGGUCUGUGCGCUUGCGCAGCAGGCAGCGAAACCACUGAGCUAAAUCCCUGGUGAGCAGUGUUCUCUUAAUAUUUGAAAAAGUGCCUCUUGGCUUUCAUUCUCUCGUCUCUUCUUCAUGUCCCUGGAAAUGCUAGCAAAAGUUUCUUGGAUGUUCCUUGAGACUUGCUCGACUUUUAAAGUCUUUUGAUAUUCCGCUGACUGAAAAUUUAACAUUCCCUUUUUUAUGAUGAUUGAUCUAUUUCACAUUCUAUGCUGUCUGCAAGUUUACUGCAUUUUGAAAAUAAUUCUUCUGAUGUCUCAGAAAAGCCUUGUCCUCCUGGUUGUCCCUUUGGGGCCAGCCCGAGGCAGGUAGGGCAGCUGUCUCUGAGCAGCGGUGGUGAUGGCCCUCAGUGGUUGACAUCACAGCCUGAGAUUAACUGUCUUGUGCAGGUGGGUGUGAGGGGUUGGGGGAGCUCAGGCUGGGGCCCUGGGUCUUGUCACCGGGGCUGUUUGGCAGGAGGAAGGUCACUGUUUGUCCACUCAUAUCUUUGGCUGUAAAAUGGGUGAUUGUGAGAAAUGUAUGUGAAAAUACAGCAUCAAGCGUCUGGUAUGUUGUAGGCCCUCUGGACAUCCUCGGUUCCCCUACCCAGGAGUGCUGAAGGUGACACCCUGUAAUGACACUAGACACACACCAGUGCAGUCUGAAGAGGGAGCCGGGAAAAUCUUUGGCCCGCAAACUUGUCUUCUGUUGGGAAUUAGUUACUGUGGAAUGAGGGACCAUCAGGCGAGGGUCUUAUGAGAAGAUCCUCGGACAGUUGAGGCUGCGACUGCUGUGACCUGCUGAGGCCCUGUGGACUGCACUGCUGGGUGUGUGGCACUGUCUCCUCCUCAUUGCUGUAUUUCCACUUGCGUGUGGACACCUAACAGCGUUUAGUACUAAUUGUUAAAUGUAAGGAUUAAUUCCAAGAUUUAGUGUGCUUCAAGGUUGAUUUGUAACCUUGAGACUGAAAGGAAGUACUGUAUUUGAACAUGACUAUUACAAAAAGUACUUAAAUCCUAAGACUAUUUAAGGUUCUAGUUUGACACUUUAAAUGUAGUUUCCAUGUACAGUAAUUAAUUAAUGUUUGUGCCAUCAUUUUUGCCUUUUCAAAAUGUUUUUGCUAAUACAUUUCAUCUGUUAGUGUCACAGCCUCAUCAGACUGCUUGUUUGGGUUCAAGCUGUGAUGUGGGAGUGAGCCUCCCUUGGGCCACACCUGCAGCUCUUGUUAAUAAAUGUGAUUAAGCAGCUCACUGCGGUAUUUCCAUGAACUUCACGACAUUCUUCCCUUUUCUUCCAAAUCCCAGAAUAACGUGGGGUCACUUGGCAGAAUUUCAAAGCGCUCAUCUCUUUCAGCUGGAACUUCUGGUAGUACAAAUACCACAGUCUGAGUCAGGCUCAGGGGAAGUGAGGCUUCAGAAUGGACUAGAUUUGAGGAUGUGUGCAUGUAUGGACUGUUCCUUGGUGUUUGUGGGUCUUUCUCCUUUGCGGUGGAAUGCCUGUUGGGUUAGUUUUGAGAAACAUGCUGCAGGCUUGUAGCCUGUGCCUGAGGAAUGCUGGAUGGACGGGAAGGGCAGUGCCUGGCCUUGGUCUGGGUAUUAGGCCUGUGCCUCCUGGCCUGGCUCUGGGGUCUGGAGCCUCUGUCCUUGCUGCCGAGCCAUGCGUCAUUCCAGGGGCUCUCAGCUGAUCUCAGCACAGCCAGGUCCUGAGUACAGACCUUUCCCGGAGAGGCUGGGACCACUAGAAAGCUGGCCAGAGAACAAACUUUCUGGGCUGUCGGGGGUGCUUAAGGGUCGGUAGGGUGGCUGGGCUGAAUCUGGAUUCUAGAACAUGCCGAAGCACCCCAGGGUUGGGGAGAGGGAGGCAGCGGUGGUGGCACGACAGGUAUGCAGUUAAUGUGUUUUACUGAAUAAAGGAAAGGCUUGAUGGGGCUGAUUGUGGGAAAGGGCCAGCUACAGUCUGGUAUUGUGCCAUUGUGCUUGUCUAGAAGUGAUCACCGUCACUGCCUUAAAACCAGGGUGAGGGGGCGGGGAUGUAGCUCAGUGGCCCCAUGCCUGCCUGGCAAACACAAGGUCCUGAGUUCAAUCCCUGGUACUGCAAAACAAAAACAAAAAACAAAACAGGGUGAAUGUGAGAUCAGAUAUCCAGGCCAGGACCCCCUGUAGAGGGAGCAGGAGCACAGUUGGUGAUGACAGUCGGUGUCAGAUGUGAGCUAGAGUGUGGGGCCGCCCCAGAAACUGAGAGGACUAGGGCUAGGUCCCAGGUGUGUCUUGUGCCUGUGUAUGCUUUCUCAGUGACCUGUGCAAAGUCAGUCCUCUGGGUUGAGGUGGGGUUGACAGGUGGGGUGAGGAAGGCGCAGUCCUGGUGGCAAGGUGUCCCUGCAGCUCAGUGCAGCUGGCUGGGCUUGGGCCAGGCACUGAGGCUUGUUGGGUGGAAGGCUCUUGGGGCGACAUGGAUGAGCUAUCACACCUGGACACCUGGGCAGCGUUGGGGAAGUGCAGGCUCCAGGCCCAGGUGCUGCCCUGAACUGGGCGUCCAGGAGUGAUGUGGGUGUGGGUCACCUGCAAGGGGUCCCAGGCAGUGCUGUGGCCCAGAGCUGGGUCAGAACCCCCGUUUGGCUCAAGGACCCUCCGAAACUUAGUGAAUAGUCGGAGUCUUCUUUCUGGGGGGAAUGAGCAC
rnacentral:lncRNA from 1 species